rnacentral:lncRNA from 1 species
UUACAUUGCAUUGAAUGGUGCUUUAAAAUUAGCACAGAGUGAAAAAAAGGGUAAACUUUAAAUACCACACGUGUAGUUUCGCACUUUCUCAUUUUAGUGCCCCGUAGUUUAAAGUGUAUCAAGUUAGUGUUUUGAGAUUUAAUUUUUAUCUUUUUGUCAGCUUUUUUAUUAAUAUUUCGUUACAUUAUAUACAAAAAAUUUCAGAUAUCCGACCUAAGUUUAUCGAAUAUUCACUUUAGUAUUCUUUAAUUUUAACUUUGUCACUUAUUUAACGAAAAAAAUUAGUGAAAUCGAUAAUAAAAAGAUAAAAAUAAAACUAUAGGGCACUAAAUUGAUACACUUUAAACCACAAAGUAUUAAAGUGAGAAAAUGUAAAACUACGGGGGUGCUAUUUGAAGUUUUUCUCCAAAAAACGAUAAAAAAUAAU